UACGGGGGGGGCAAGCGUUGUUCGGAAUUACUGGGCGUAAAGGGCGCGUAGGCGGCCUUCUAAGUCGAACGUGAAAUCCCCGGGCUCAACCCGGGAACUGCGUCCGAUACUGGAAGGCUUGAAUCCGGGAGAGGGAUGCGGAAUUCCAGGUGUAGCGGUGAAAUGCGUAGAUAUCUGGAGGAACACCGGUGGCGAAGGCGGCAUCCUGGACCAACACUGACGCUGAGGAGCGAAAGCCAGGGGAGCAAACGGG
rnacentral:rRNA from 1 species